AAACAACCCCCUAUGUUUUGAUUCUUUGGCAGUUUUGGACCCCCAAGGCAAAAAAUAAAAAAUAAAAAAUUGACAUGCGGCACCUCACUUAGGGUGCCACGUCAGCGUUGACUGAGUCAACAAUGGAUUGGGGGUCCAAAACUGUCAAAGAAUCAAAACAUAGGGGGCUGUUU
rfam:Medicago truncatula strain A17 chromosome 4, whole genome shotgun sequence.